rnacentral:rRNA from 1 species
AGUGAACGCUGGCGGCGUGCUUAACACAUGCAAGUCGAACGAGAACGGGUUAUAGCUUGCUAUAAUUGUCAGCUAAGUGGCGCACGGGUGAGUAAUGUAUAGGUAAUAUGCCUCUUACUAAGGGAUAACAAAUGGAAACGUUUGCUAAUACCUUAUACUCCUUAAUUAACAGAAGUUAAUAAGGGAAAGAUUUAUUGGUAAGAGAUUAGCCUGUAUUGUAUCAGUUAGUUGGUGGGGUAAUGGCUUACCAAGACUAUGACACAUAACUGGUUUGAGAGGAUGAUCAGUCACACUGGAACUGAGACACGGUCCAGACUCCUACGGGAGGCAGCAGUGGGGAAUAUUGCACAAUGGACGAAAGUCUGAUGCAGCAACGCCGCGUGGAGGAUGACACAUUUCGGUGCGUAAACUCCUUUUAUAUGAGAAGAUAAUGACGGUAUUAUAUGAAUAAGCACCGGCUAACUCCGUG